rnacentral:rRNA from 1 species
UACGUAGGCAGCGAGCGUUGUUCGGAGUUACUGGGCGUAAAGGGUGUGUAGGCGGUUGUUUAAGUUUGGUGUGAAAUCUCCCGGCUCAACUGGGAGGGUGCGCCGAAUACUGAAUGACUUGGAGUGCGGGAGAGGAGAGUGGAAUUCCUGGUGUAGCGGUGAAAUGCGCAGAUAUCAGGAAGAACACCCGUGGCUAAGGCGGCUCUCUAGUACGUGACUGACGCUGAGACGCGAAAGCGUGGGGAGCGAACAGG